GUGGGGAAUAUUGGACAAUGGGCGAAAGCCUGAUCCAGCCAUGCCGCGUGUGUGAAGAAGGUCUUCGGAUUGUAAAGCACUUUAAGGUGGGAGGAAGGGUUGUAGAUUAAUACUCUGCAAUUUUGACGUUACCGCCAGAAUAAGCACCGGCUAACUCUGUGCCAGCAGCCGCGGUAAUACAGAGGGUGCAAGCGUUAAUCGGAAUUACUGGGCGUAAAGCGCGCGUAGGUGGUUUGUUAAGUCGGAUGUGAAAUCCCCGGGCUCAACCUGGGAACUGCAUCCGAAACUGGCAAGCUAGAGUAUGGUAGAGGGUAGUGGAAUUUCCUGUGUAGCGGUGAAAUGCGUAGAUAUAGGAAGGAACACCAGUGGCGAAGGCGACUACCUGGACUGAUACUGACACUGAGGUGCGAAAGCGUGGGGAGCAAACAGG
rnacentral:rRNA from 1 species